rnacentral:rRNA from 1 species
GACGAACGCUGGCGGCGUGCUUAACACAUGCAAGUCGAACGGAAAGGCCUUUUCGGAGGUACUCGAGUGGCGAACGGGUGAGUAACACGUGGGUGAUCUGCCCUGCACUCUGGGAUAAGCCUGGGAAACUGGGUCUAAUACCGGAUAGGACCGCACUUUAGUGUGUGUGGUGGAAAGUUUUUUCGGCGUAGGAUGAGCCCGCGGCCUAUCAGCUUGUUGGUGGGGUAAUGGCCUACCAAGGCGGCGACGGGUAGCCGGACUGAGAGGCUGGUCGGCCACAUUGGGACUGAGAUACGGCCCAGACUCCUACGGGAGGCAGCAGUGGGGAAUAUUGCACAAUGGGCGCAAGCCUGAUGCAGCGACGCCGCGUGGGGGAUGACGGCCUUCGGGUUGUAAACUCCUUUCGCCAGGGACGAAGCGUUUUGUGACGGUACCUGGAGAAGAAGCACCGGCUAACUACGUG